rnacentral:rRNA from 1 species
GGGGAAUUUUCCGCAAUGGGCGAAAGCCUGACGGAGCAAUACCGCGUGAGGGAGGAAGGCUCUUGGGUUGUAAACCUCUUUUCUUCGGGAAGAAGUUCUGACGGUACCGAAGGAAUCAGCAUCGGCUAACUCCGUGCCAGCAGCCGCGGUAAUACGGAGGAUGCAAGCGUUAUCCGGAAUAAUUGGGCGUAAAGCGUCCGCAGGUGGCGAUUCAAGUCUGCUGUCAAAUCUCCUGGCUCAACUGGGAACCGGCAGUGGAAACUGAAGAGCUAGAGUGCGGUAGGGGUAGAGGGAAUUCCCGGUGUAGCGGUGAAAUGCGUAGAGAUCGGGAAGAACACCAGUGGCGAAAGCGCUCUACUAGGCCUGCACUGACACUCAGGGACGAAAGCUAGGGGAGCGAAUGGGAUUAGAUACCCCAGU